rnacentral:lncRNA from 1 species
GAAAAUGUAAACGAGGAAAAUACCUAAAAAAAAAAAAACAGAGAAAAAAAAAAGGAGUGAGGACUAUUUUAGGCAUCUUGUGCAUCCAUGGUUCAUCUUGCCUAAUAGCUGGUGUGUGUUCAUGGGUAUCUGGUAGAUCUGGAUGGGUGAAUCUUUCUCAUUUCUAUUCUCUAAUUUAGCUUACAUUUUCUUUAGCAAAUCUUGUUCUUUGUACAUUGUCUGAUUGAUUAUAGCUCCAUCCUAAAUUCAUUUCAUAUUCUUAAAUUUAUUGUAUGACUUGGAUAUAUCAUUUUUCUUUAUACUUCUAGAAUACCAAUAUAAUUCAGAAUUUAUGUAAGAUGAGCUGAGCAUAUGUAAGUAGAUUUGUGACUUUUAUAAAGUUAAUUGGGUAUAGCUUCUUUCCUAAAUAAAUUCAGAUUAACUAUGCAUCAUUCUUAUCUUUUUUCCUCACAGGUUAUUUCAUCUCUUAUACAAGUUAUAACUUUGAUAGCAGCAUUGAUGAUUUCUGUAGACACCCAUGCCAACAUAUAGGUAAACCUGUAACCAUUCAAUGAAGAUCUUCUUUGAUUAAAAAAAAACACCCAUAAAUGGCACCUAGAGGGGUUUCAUUUAUGGCAACUAGUAAAUGAAAUUAUUGUUACUAAUUGAAAGUAUAAACACUUAAGAGAUUUUAGUAUUUUUACAUGACAAUUAUCUGAGCUACAGUUUUCAUUCAAGAACUUUCACAGAUGCUAAUUUAAGAAGACAAUUUUACUGUGCGUACUUUUGUGUGAGUGUUAAAGCAAGAAGCAAAUGUGAGUGCACAGAACUGUCCUUCUACAUUUGACUUUGAAGUCUUCAGCUGUAGUCUCUGGAACCUAAAACUAAUGUCUAUGCACGCUUACAGUUAGGUUCCACUUACCUGUAUCCUGUCCCUCAUCCUGUAUCCACUCUUGUCCUCUCAUCUUUGUAGUGGUUUUUCUCUUUUACAUUGUAGUUGUAUUUACAUUUCUUUCUGAAUUCCUAUGUAGGUUUCUUUUCUCCUUUCCUUUUUCCUUUAUUUCUCCAUGAGUCUCCACCUCUUUUUCCCUCUUCCCCUCUCUUACCCUCUCUCACCAGCUUUACUUCCAGUCAAAAAGAUCCUUUAGGGUGUGCUUGAAGAUCCAAAGGGAAUUAAUUUGCACACAUCUUUAUCUUGACAUUUUUUUCCUGUGAGUUUUUGCUCUUCUUACAUAGAAAUCUCAACAAUAUUGCCAGAGUAGUUCUGCAUCCUAUACUUUGGCAGAACUCCUAGAAUUAAUCCCAGUGGGAUAUUUGCUUUAGAAGCUGCCUUAGUAUCUUUGUAGUAGUAUUCAGAUUGCUAUCCAAAGAGAACUCUAGUUAAGUACAUAUCCUUAAAAUAUUUUGCCAAAAUACUUCACCACUUAAUCACUGCAAUGGCUAUAUAUAAAACACACAACUGUAUUUUUGUGUAUGUGUAGAUGUAUGUGUGUAUGCAUGUGUAUGUGUGUAAAACAGGACAUCUUCACUUACUGAAGGAGGUAAUGAAGCCCCACAAAGCCAGUUUCUCCUGUACUCCAACAACAGUAAUUUCCUCCUCCUUGCAGUGGUUUUGAAUGCACGGUGUGAGGCUCCAGGGAUCUUAUUUCAUUCCAUUUCCUGCUAAACUAAUAUUUCCUGCUAACAGUAUUCAUCAGCUUAGUCAUGAUGAUAUAACAGUUAGACAUUUGGACUUGUGCUUCCAAACAGAGACUUGUCCCCUAGUAGAGUUGGUUAGUCAUUAAAUGGAUUUGCCACUUGUUUUUUGAAAUAAUGAAAUAAUGGAAAGAAUUGUUGUUCAUGUUUGGAGGAUGCUGGAGACACGUUAUUAGAGUGAAGUGAAAGCAAGAGAAUUAUGACAAAUGUUGAUAUAUUCUUUAUAGAUGAUUCUAUGAUUACACACUGAUAUUUAUUAUGAAAGGUUGCCUGUUUGAUUUUUGUGACUGGUAUUUUAGGACAUGGUAGUGCUACUGUUGAUGGUUACCACAGAUAUAACCUUUGUAAGCUUAGCAUUGGCAUAUUGUGCAGAAUGAUCUAGUAGGAAGGCAUAGAUUCAAUAGUUUCAUUAAUAGUGAUUUUAGAUCUUGGAGUGAUAUCUUAGUCGUAAUGAACACUGGCUGCUCUUCAGAAGACAUGGGUUCAAUUCAAACCCAGUACCUGCAUAAUCACACUGGAAGAAAGUCUUUCUAUAUGUCUGUGCAUUUAGGACUGGAUUUGACACUCUCUCUGGCUCUGCAGGGACUGCAUACGUAUGAUGUUAAGAAAUGUUUGCAGGCAUCUACACACAUAAAAUUUUUAAAAAGAGAGAAACCUAUAGAUUAAAAUAGUGGAAUUCCACUUAUUUUACUUUCUGGGGAAACUGAGUCAAAGAUGAGUGUGCAGCUCAUCACUGUUUUCUUUCUCAUCCUGUUCUCUUUAAAAUGCAACAUAGUAAGUCCCAGCUAAGCAGUUGGAAGAUUCUCCUCACAGAAACAGCCCUGUAAGCAGAUCUGGAAGGUGUUUUUUUUUUUCCCCCUCUGUAUGUGCCUGCUCUUAACUAGGAGGAGGGGAUGGCUUUUCAACGAGGGGCUUGAGUGUUUGGUUCUGCACUGGAAGAAUUAGAGGCUGGGAUAUUGCUGACUUGUGUGAGACCAAAGAAAGGCCCUGCCUACUAUUUCACUGUUACAACUUUGAGUGUGCUCUGAACAGGGCAGCUGAGCUUGGGCUUCUCUUUUGACAAACAUUAUCGAAUCAUAACUAUUAUCUUGGUUCCAUCUCCACAUUGUUCUUCUUGCUGAGUCAAAUGCUGCUUUACAUAGCAGGUAGAAUGAUAGGGCAGGCAAAGAUAGGAGGGCCAGUGAAAUCGGGGCACGCUGCAGAAAGGUAUAAUGGCACCUGUCACGUGCUUACUGUGGAGCCUAGCCUGCAAUAAGGACUCACUGUUUAUUCCUUAUUGUGAUUAUCGUUCUCAUGACUUUGCUUUGCUUUUGUAAACAUCACAUGAUUACAUCCACAGUGAAUAAUUGAAACGUUUCUUACCCUUCCUCAAAAAUCAUUAUUAGCAAUAGAAACUGUUUACCUUUUGAUAUCAAAUCAGUAAUUCUUACAAAAGAUCAUUUUUUUCCUUCCGCGGCACAGCUGUACAUAAAUGGCACCAAAAGCACAUUUCAGUUCCCUGUUAAUUUCUUAUUACUGCUUAAAAAUAUCACAAGUUUAGUAAUAUGAGGCAACACAUGUUUAUUAUUUUAACAUUAUGAAGGUCACAAGUUUUAAAAUGACACUGUUGGCAGGACGGCACUCCUUUAGAAGGCUCUGAGAAGAAUCUGCUUUCUUGCCUUGUCUCCCUUGGGGACUGACCACCUACUUGUGUCCCUGGCUUUCUUCUUCCAAACAGCAAGCACUUAAGCUUCCCCCAGUCCUCUCUCCUCUGACCUGACCUGUGUACCUUCCCUGAGGUUGCACUUGGUCCAUAUACAUCAUAUGGAGUCCCAUCUCAAGAUUCGUAACUUAAUAAUGGCUAUGUAGUCCCACUUGCAAAUUUUGAAAACCGGUCUCAGAAUAUAGACAUCUGGUGGAUUCCUUGCAGUGUCUGAUGCAGGUACAUAGCAAACAAUUAUAUUUGAUGGAUGAGAUCACCAGCCUUUAGAUCUAAAAGAACACUGAUUAAAUCAACACUUUUAUUAAUGAGGAAAAUUUAACAGGUAUUAAAAAGACCUUAUACAGAAAACUGUGUGUUGACCUCAGUGACUUUUUACACUGUUUCAAUGCACCAUUUUAACACAGCACGCUCAGCUAUAAUUAGUGUUUGUUAGAGACUACAUUAGAAAUGAAUACAAAAUAGUGUUUUAGGUCAGAGACUAAUGUGUAAUCUGAAGUGAGUCACAUCUCUUGGACUUCAGUUUCAAUACACUUAGCAGAAUAGGUGGAUAUAUCAGAAUUGGUUUAGUGGCUUUUUUUUUUUUAAAGAAAAUAAUGCCUUAGGGCUGUUUGCUAAAGCCCCUGAAGUGCCUGACUGUGGCUGCAGUUGGUGUCCCACACUCUAACAUAAGCUUUAUGGGUUCUUCUCAUUCAGACUGCAGCUAAGAAAUGUUCACAAUAAGAGGCUAAGCAGUUGACACUUAUGAAUUGAUAGCAUGCUACUGUUCGUGUGAUAAACUAUUCAAGCUUGUGGUGCCAUCUGAUUCCCUGAGUUUCAUUUGUGUAAUGCAGCAGGGUACUGUUGUCACUGAGAACAGCCCGUUCUUAUGUACAAUAUGCGUGUCUUUUAUGGAGCCCACCCAAGGACAAAUUAGAAGAUGGUUCAUUGCUUCCAUUUCCUUUUUCUCUUUUGCUCCUUCUGUAGCUUGAAUUUUGGUGGCCCAUAGAGGAUCACGUCAGUCAUUUUGAUGUUGUUUUAUUUUCUGGGCUGCAUUUCAGAGAGUGGCCUGGAAUACAAGAUGAUUGAUCUUGUCCUUUGUGUUUGGUAGACAUUUCUGUGUCUCCUAGACCAGUGAGAAAGGCUUUAUUGAGCAGCCCCUGUGCUCACAAAUGAUGCUUGUCUCCAUUACUGGCCUCUGUAAAAAUAAGACUGCUGUAAAUACUCAGGCCUUUGGGAUGUGUUUUCCUGUCCUCCCAAGUGACAAAAUAGGCCCACUGCACAGGGCUGUUAAAAGAAUUUUACUAGGGUGAUGCAUCUGAAAAUACUAAAUAACAUGCCUUGCUUGUCCCAAGCAUGAAGCACCAAGAUGUGUUCAUUCUUCACAGUCUAAGAGAGAAGGUGUCAUGUCUAUAAAUACUUCUAGUACCAGGCAGGAGAUGUUGGGAUAAGGAGCUUUGGGAGUUUAGCGAGGAUAAUUCUACAUGGGUCAAAGCAUUUUCAUGGCAUUUUAGCUGGCUGUUACAAGAGGGGGAGGAUUUAGCAUGUAGAGAUAACCAGGGCUGUGAUAUUUCUUCCUGGUUCUUGAUUGAUCUCUCCUCUCACUCUCCUAUGCAUGUUUUCUGUGCUGUCCAGUGCUUCUCUUUUUCUGGCUUUGUCUAUCCUAAUCUAACUUUUGACUGCAUGUAAAUGUCAUAAAAGGAUUUUUGUCCCCAUUGUUUACUAGCUUACUGUUUUCAGACUUCCCAAAGGCAUAGACAACAUGAAUAUGUUGAUUUAUUUCUUUUUCUUGAGACAAGGUCUCACUAUGUAUCCCUGGCCUGUCUCUGCCAGGGUGCUAAGAUUAAAGGUGUGAAUCACUACACCAGUGCCAAAUACAGUGAUUUUUUUUUUACUUAUGUUUUACUCAUUUUUGCUCCUUAAAUAACUGCUGUCAGUAGCUAGGUACAUUAGUCAUAUGGUGUUGGUUUGCAGGAACCUAGGGUUUUUUUUUUUGGGGGGGGGACUCUUAAUAGAAGUAUUCAUCUCCCAUAAAAUCAAGAGUCUCUUCCUAGAGAAAAAAAAAGGCAUAGUGUGACAUUUUGUUUUUCACAUUGACUGUGGGGAUCCAGGGAUCCUGUGACCAUUGUUCACACAGCUGCAUCCACCUGUGUGAGUCACCACCAUGGAUCCUUUUAACAGCAGAACAGUUUCUACUAGCUUCUGAGACUCUGAUCAGAAAAUUGUCUCAUCCUGCAUGAGAUACGUUUUUGGAGAAGCUGUUUUCUGCUAACACAGAGACUAACCAAACUGAAAUCUGCAAUUGUAGUAUUCCCUCCUUAUUUAGCUUCAAAGUCACAUAGCCUUCACCAGGUCCUAUUUUAAGCACUUCACACUACUAUUAAAUCAGAUCUUUUCUCUCUUUUAGGUGUCAAUUGUAGCAAAAUUUUAAUACCCUUUAAAUCUCUGCACUAAACUUUUGAACCCGAGAGGGACACAUCUGAUAUUAAGAGAUACUAGAACAUACGUAGUUAAUGGUGUUGUAGAAUGCAUUUAGUUUUGGGCAUAUGUUCAUUAAGUGGCUGCAUGGUUAUCCUUUUGGACUCUUAUUAAAAUUUACUCAAGGAUUCUACAUUGGGUUUGAAAUGAAUUAUUUUUUUAAUGUAGUUGAGUCCUCUAUGCUGAUGUGUUGGAAGCUAGGAAGUCUCUAGUAUUAAAUAACUAUCUCUGAUACAGUGUCCAGGAUGAUUCUGAUACAACAUUUGCUUCCAAAAAUAGGAGCCCAUGGGAUUAUUUUGUUGUUUGUUCUUCUGCAUUUGGGCUCCCACAAGUGGCAGUUUGUUACAGGGGAAGAUUCUGUCUUCAGGUCUAUGAGCAAGAGUUGCUCAUCCAAGUGGGCAGCUCAGUGAGGCAUGGGUUACAGAUGCCGGCUCUCCCUAGGGGGCCCUGGCUACUUUCAUAACUGGUUGAUGUUUUCCUUUAGGCCAACUCUUGUCUAGAACAUAAAAAAAUCAACAAAAUAGUGACUUUGUAAAAUUUUCGAACCUGUUUAUAUGUCUUCUUUCAGAAGAGACAAAAACAGAGAAUUCAUCAAGAAAACACACACACACACACACACACACACACACACACGAGUGCAGAUACAGUUUGAUGUAUCUGAAGGAUAGACAGGAAAUAGGGAUGAGAAACUUUGAUGUUGUUCUAUUCUUACUCCAGCGUUUCUCAUUUAGCGUCUGCUUUCCUUUGCUUUGGGUAAUGUUUGCUUUAUUUACAGGUCUGGGUUCCUGUGGUACUGAAGGAACAGUUGCACUGAGUACUGAGUGGUACUCUCCAUUUGACUAAUUUACUGAUUAUAGUUUUCAGACAGCUGUAAGAAAGGAUUGUCACUGGGAAUCUGUGCAGACAUUCAUAAGCCAGACCAGGACAUGGUUCUCGGUAUUUAUGAUUCAUCAUGAACAACACUAUGCUCUGUGAGAAAGCAGGAGCUGCAGCCAUCAAAGUCACUGAGUGGCCUUUUAUGUUGUGCUGAUACACUGACAGGGGACAGUUUCAAAUUGCUGCCCAGCUCUAUGUUGGAUUACAAGCAAAUAGGAGAGAUUUUUGAAUAAAAUUUAAUGCAGCAAAACAACAACAACAACAAACAAACCACCUCAUUCUGUUUAUUUUAAUAUAGGUCAUUUUGGAGGAAGUAGCCAACAUUUUUUUUUCUUUUUUUUUUUUUAAAUUAAAUAAUGUUUAUUCACAAUAACAUUAAAAUCGUUAGGGAUAAACUAAAAUGACCUAUAAAAGGUAAAUAGUGAACAUUGAAAUACAUUGGAAAGGGAAACGCGAGAAGUCAUUGAAAUACACAACAUUUUUUUCUUUUGGAGUUUUUAUAACCAGAUAUGUCAAAGAGAUUUUACUGUAUCUUCGCCUUUGAAUAAAGUUAGAUUCCAAAUGUGACUUGUUGGAGACCUCUGAGAGCUACAUAUGUUUGUUAGCUAGAAGAAAUUAUAGUUCAUAGUAAAUUACCCAAAGGAUCAUCAUAGCUAGUCAAUAGUUGAAAUUAUUUCAGUUUUUGACAUAUUGAAAUAAACAAAGUAAAAAUUGUCUGUUUGAUUUUGUUUUCCCUAUGGUGGUGCUCCUCAGAGUCUACAGUUCUACAAUAUGCUAAUGAACACUAAAUUAGAAUAAAACCCAAAAUUACACACACUCACACACACACACACACACACACACACACACACACACAAACACCUGUCAUCAAUGUCAUAACUUCAGUCAUAAGGACCUGUAUGUGCUUAAUGUUCUCAGGUUAUUGGUGGUUUCUGCUUCCUGGAGUCUGGUGGUGAGCUGGUUAGAGAACUAUUCCAUUAAGGUAUUGGGGCUGGUGAUUGGAGCUUUGAUCACUUUGUUGUGCAUUGGAAUAUUCUAUAUGGCUUUUCAGAAAGUUCUUGGCAAGUAAGAAGUUGAAGACUCAUGCUAUAAAGCCUAAUGUUGAAUGGGAACUGUUCAUGGAGGAUGCUCAGUUAUGCCUACCAUUUAAACCUCUGUUCAUCUCAGCACUUCUGCACCCAGCUUAGGACAAAAUCUUAGCUGAAUUUCAAUAUGAAAACUUAUCAGUAACUAAAAGAGGAUUUUAAUUACAUAAAACUAAGAUAAUAAAUUAUUUGCAUUUGUUCUACUUCCUUCAUUUCAUCACUCUUAUCUGAAAUGAUGUUGGUAGAAUUAUUUGAAAGCUCUGGUCUGAGCACACUAGGAACAAUAGACAUACUUGGUUAAUGGAGCCUACCCUGGUCAUGAGAAGGGAAACAGCCUAGAAACUGGGCUGCAUAUUUGGUAUUCAUGAAAAACACAGUUAUCUCUAAAGUCAAUGACAAAUGUAGCGUUUGAUUUUUGUGAUUUUAUCUGCUAAAAUUGUUACACAUCUAACUGUUGGGUUUUUUUUUAACUGUUGGGUUAAGGCUGUUAUAAAAAUGAUUUUAUUCAAGUGCUAAUUUAUACUCUUUAGUAAUAAUUUUUUAGACUCUAUAAAUGGUCCAAGAUUCAAAUUCAAUACUCUAUUGUCUUGAUAAAUGCAAUGCUAUGUUCUUUAAGUCUAUUCCCUCUGCUAAGUAAGAUCUGUUGCUUCUCAAAUUCUUCACUUACAAAUUCUUCAGAAAGGUCCUAUUACAGUGAAUUUAAAACUUACAUGCAGUUAGAAAUCCCUACUUGUUUGCAGCCGAUGUAGUCAUUAAAAGUCUUUCUUCUUCAGAAGGUUGAAUCCUCAUUUCUGUAGUCUGAUUACAGUGAAACUCCAGAGUUAUCCUUGGUCAUAUCUAAAGAUUUAAAUUAAUUGUUUCUAAAUCAUAUUUUCAUCAUAUUAUUGAGACUAUGUAAAUAACAAUCUAGUACUAUAAAUAGAAAGACAUUUCUUUUUCUGUUGGACACACUCAGUUUGCCAGAACAGGACAGAUUCAGCAUACUAUAGAUGACCAGUACUUAAAAAAAUAUGAAUGAAUUUGGGUUCUGCAAUGAUUUAUUUAGCUGUAAAUUACAACCUUUUGAGUGACAUAGUACCUGCAGGGUGCUUGUGUAUGCUCGUUGUACAUGUUUCUGUGCUAAUGCUGGUACAUUGUGGUUUUGAUUUCAGUGUAUUUUCUUGUCCCUGUUAUAAAUUCAAACUAUGGCUUUUCCAUCUUGGUAAUAGAGUUAGGACAUCGACCUGGGAUGUAGUACCCUCAAUUGUGAGUUGUAUGUAAUCACUUGGACUUCCUUUAUACAUACUCAUCUCUUCUUACAUUUAAAUGAAUGGCUCUGACUGUUAUUAUAAGGUAUGUAUCAUAGCUAUGUAAUGUGAAAAUUCAACAUCAACCAUAGCUCUGCUGUAAAUUCAGCACUGUUGCUGUAUAAUUAAGACUCUGCAUCUGAAGACAAUAAAAACCUAAAUCAAAGAUGUGUACAGAACAUUGUUUCCUCAUUCUUAAAUUAGUAAAGACAAGAAUGGGGAGAGCAGGCAGGGAAGAAAAAACACAGACAAGUUUGCCUCAGAGUUGUUUGUAAGCUCAUGCUUGCAGUCUAAGUUGUGGGUUUGCUUUUACGGAGCUCUCUGCAGAACAUGUUCUCUGAGGCAUAGGGAAGACCACUUUAAAAGCA